rnacentral:rRNA from 1 species
GAGUUCGAUCCUGGCUCAGGAUGAACACUGGCGGCAUGCUUAACACAUGCAAGUCGAACGGGAAGUGGUGUUUCCAGUGGCGAACGGGUGAGUAACACGUAAGAACCUACCCUUGGGAGAGGAACAACAACUGAAAACGGUUGCUAAUACCCCGUAGGCUGAGGAGCAAAAGGAGAAAUCCGCCCAAGGAGGGGCUCGCGUCUGAUUAGCUAGUGGGUGAGGUAAUAGCUUACCAAGGCGAUGAUCAGUAGCUGGUCCGAGAGGAUGAUCAGCCACACUGGGACUGAGACACGACCCAAACUCCUAUGGAAGGCAGCAGCGGGGAAUUUUCCGCAAUGGGCGAAAGCCUCACGGAACAAUGCCGCGUGAAAAUACUUGUUUUAGAAAUGGUUGUAUCUAGACUAGAUACAACCAUUUCUAAAACAAGUAUUUCC